GGAUGUGAGUGCGAUCUGGCUGUUACAUCUGUCACCCCCUUGACUGCUAGAGUUGAUUUGGUGAUCUGGCUGGCUAGGUGGGUGUCCCCUUCCUCCCUCAACUCUCCAAGUGCUCAAGUGCAUCCCACCCAAUGCUGUGUGCUUGGUUGAAGAGGACAACCUUCACAGAACAGAGAAAGACCAGUCUUCAGUCAAUAGUAUACCAAUAACUGCUCUCCCCUGCAAGAAUCUCCAAACAAGCAUUCAAGAAAUAAAGGUGUGAUUAUCUGCAUUAGCCACUAGGUGGAGGCAUUGGAUCAGGAUGGGUGGGAUGGGAAACUAGCUGGUGUAAGCAAUUGCUUGGCCAUUCCCU
rnacentral:snRNA from 1 species